rnacentral:misc_RNA from 1 species
GGAAAAUUUUUCUUAUCUACUUAAAUAGGAAAGAAUUCUUGAUCCAAAUAGAACGGUACCAAGCAAUAAAUCUGAUGUACGAUUGAUAAUAGAGUACAAAAACACCAAUGACGAGUCUAAACCACGUGAUGGGAGAGUAGCAAAGAAUGAAGGGGAAAAAAAACCCUAAUCUAAACCCGUCUUGGAUUUCUAGGAAGAAAUCCAUAUCACAUUUUUUUUUCAUUAACACAGGAUCAAAGUACAUAAUCAAGGGUUAAUCAUACUUUAGUGCCCCAACAAAUACGCUGAAACAAGAGUACUUAAUUGUGGGUUUAACUGUAAAGAACUGUUGAUGGUGAGGAAAUAAUAGAUUUCAGAGUCAGCGGCCAUAGUUCUCUUUCUCCUCUGAUGUUCUUGGCGGCCGGGCAGGACUUCUUGAAGGAUGAACACUGGCUUCCUUAUUUACUGGUUCAUUUGAUUGAUCAGCAUUCCUUUCUCUCAAGAGGGCGUUGCUAUGUGAUGUAGCCAAUCGCAUAGCCCUUGGUAACUUCAGAAGCACAUCUGCCUCCGUUGCACUGUUAUUAUUAUCUGGCUUUGCAUUGUUAGAUGCAUCAGAGAGCAUAGCUCUGGGUAACUUGGAAGGCAGACACAUGUCUGAUUCACCUGUACUAUUAUCUACCUUUUGAGGGGCUUCUGCUUUUCCUGAUUGUGUGGAGGGAGGAACAGUAGGAACAAGCUGAAUUACUGAUUUGCGCCAUUUCUUUCUCUGGGCAGGCUUUGGAGCAUUAGAAUUGGCCACCGUAUUCCCUAUGUCUGACAAAGGCUUCCUUCUGACCACACCAUCAUCAUUUGUCUCAGCAGGCUUCUCAAUCAAUGCACUCUGAAGCAGCAUUGCACCAUGAGAAGCAAGAUCACGAUUCUUCUCGAUUUCAUCAGAGCCUGAACCAGUUCCAUCACAUUCAGACAUCUCUGCUUGUGCCAAAUCAUCAGACUUGAACACUGUACCAUCUCUAUUGGAGCAUUUACUUGCGAUACAACCGCAGGAUGAGCCACAAUUGCCCUUAGCAGCUCGGCAUUGACACUUUAUUGUCUUGCAUGAAGAAUACUUACUACAGGUGCAACAUACCCAAGAUGUAGUUUUUUCCAUAGCAACAUUGAAUCCCUCACCAGAAGAAUCCAAUUUGGAGUUUUCUGGAUCAUUGUUAUCUCCCACAUUUUGAUUGUCUCCACUCUUGGAAAUUCUGUUCCUAGCCCGCCGUUUCAUCGGCCUUGCGGAUUCAUCAUCUGCCAUAUCCACAUCUGACUGCACCCAUUCAUCAUCUGCAUUGUCUACAUCUGAAUGUUCUGAUUCAGAUGUAUCCAUAUCCUCCAAUAAAAUAACGGAGCUUCUAUGUGCCUGCUUGCGCAAUUCAUACUUGUGUGCUCUGCUGAGGUCUAUUUCUGCCGAAUCCAUUUGGCCUCUCAAGGAAUAUUUCUUCAAUGCUGAAUUCUGUGACUUCACCUGAUGAAUCAGUUCUGCCUUCUGCAUUUCCAGAUGCCUAGCUAAACUAUUUAGUUUCACUAUUUUUUCCUUUAGAUCUAUUAUUUUACUGUCCUUUUCUCUGCAUUCAACUUCUUUAUCCCGCAAUUGGCACCUAGAGGAUGAUGCUAAAUUGAACAGAUAAUUCAUCACAUUUUUAGCAUCAGCUAGAGAUCGAACUUGGUUCCAACGACCCUUGCCACUAAAGCUCCGUUCACGCUCUUCAGCUUCUGACAAUUGUGAUGCCAUGGAAACCAGGGAGCUUGAAGAAGUAGCAAGCAUGUUUUCCAACGCAAAAAUCCGGGAAUUUCUUGCACCAGGUGACAUUGCCGAUGGGCUAUCACUUAAAUUAGUAAGUUUGAGUAAUUGUGCUUCCUCUUUCAAUUUUGCUACCUCCUUGGCCAUUCUUGCCCUCUCUUCCAUUUGACGCUCGUACUCAGAACGUACUUCAUGUACUCGCACUGUGACUUCAAGCUCAUGCUCAAUUGAUUGCAUCAUAGCCUGAAUUCCAAGACCAUUGCCAUUUCCAGCACUAUAUGUUUCACGUGAGGAAGCCUUUCGAGAUUCUAGAAGUUCCUUUAGCCUCUUAGUGGCCAUAGAGGCUUCUUCUGUCUUUCUUUGCAGGACCAUUUUCUGUCUCUGAUUCAAAGCUAACAGCUUGUGCAUCUCAUACUCAUUCCUCCUUCCCUCUUUCUUUAGCUGAAGAACUUCUUUUUCACGUGAUGCCUUCCAUAACCUAAACUGCUCAGACUCUUGCUUGAUCUUUUGUUGUAAUUGAACCUUCUGAGUCUUGAUUCUCUGAAUUUCAUCAUUAAGUCGUUUUGCUGCUUCAUCACUUUUUUGUUUUUGUCUCAAUAAUUGAGCCUGAGCAUCUUGUUUCUUUUUUAACUCUGCAACCUGUGCCUCGAGGACAGUCAACUUUUGCAGAUAAUCUUCUUUCAAUUUUUGAGCACCAUCAUCUGAAGUAGAAGAGAUAUUUGCAAGAUUGUAUCUCAAAUCCUCAAUCUCUUUCUGCCAAUUGACAACAAAAACUGAGAUUGACAUAUUAUACCAUUAAAACUGUGUAUUAAUAGUACAAGUGGCACAAACCUGUAAAGCCCUCUUUUCUUGUUCUAAUUCAUGAACUUUCCUCUCAUAAUGUUGUUUAAGAACAGAAGUAUCAACACUUGUAAAGCUUUUCAUUUCAGCCUCCUUUUGUUCAAGCUUUUUAUCCAGUUCCUUUAGCUCCCUGUCCAGUUUUUCUUGAAGAGAGGAAUGUUCAAGCUCCUUUUCCUCAUCUUCAACCUCUUCCGAAAUGUCCACGGUUUUUGAAUCAGAGUUGGAGGAAAGCCCAUUUAGUGAUGGAAUGGAAGCAUUUUUACAAUGAAAACCAUCAUCAUCCGAGUCAACACAAUCAACAAAUCGACUAUGCUUAGAGUUAGACAAGUUUUUCAAGCGCAAUAACUCCCCUUCUAAUUCUUGAAUUUUUGAAACAUAAGUUUUCAUCAAAUCAAAAUCCUGAUUUGAAUUGGAUUCAAUCUCAUCCCAAGAUUUACCAUUACGAGCUAAUUCAAUUUGCAUUAGCAAUUUGUCUUUUUCAACCUGAGCAUCAACAGCAUUUUGUGUCAAGUGCUCACAGGUGAUUCUACGAGCUUGAAGCUCUCGUUGCAAUUCUGCAUUGCUUGCUUCAAGCAAGGAUACUUUAUGUUUAAGAAUCUGAAGUUCAUCAAAUGGAGCACUUGCAUCACCACGAUAGAACACCAAUUCAGCCUGCAACUGAUCAAUUUGGCUCCUCAUUCUUUGAAUUUGAGCUGCCAAUGGAUCUCGGUUCACUAUUGCUUUAUUUUGAAUGUUGCGGGCACGAUUUGCAUAUUUUAAUGUGUUCAACGUUUCUUCAGCGUUUGUGUCAGCAGGACUAACACAUGCAAUCAUCACUGUUUUGCUGUUUCCUCCCAAAGAAUCUUGCAACAAACGAGUCAGCUUGCUGUCACGAUAAGGAACAUGGCCUCCUUCUUUUCGUUUCUUCUCAUCUCCCAAGGCACUAAUUACAUUGCCAAGAGCUAAUAAGCCCUUAUUGAUAUGAAUGCCUUCUUUGAAACGCAUCCCAUCUGCACCCGUUCGCUUUGCUCGCUCAGAACCAGCAAGGUCUACCAAAUGCAGUUUCGCAGAUAAGAUGUCAUCUCCAAAUUCAUCAUUAUUUACUUCAUUUGAAUGAGCAAUUUUCUUUUGCUCCAUUGUAAUAGUAAAAAUAGCAUGCGAACGACUCGAUUGACUAUUCAUAUUAGUACUCCCAGUGGCACGAGACAAUGAACCACGUGAUAAAUAUGAUGCCAUCUCUUCCUUGGUUCUAACUUCUGCUUCAGUCACUCCUGCAAGGGUUAUCCCUCCAUUCACUGUUUCUCUAAUUUGAAUUGGAACCCUUGUAGGCACUGCUGGUUUCAUUGCAUUUGCCCCUUCUCCUUUUGAGAGAAGGGCUGAAUUUGGGUCAAGCAAAUCAAAAACCUCUUCCUUGAAUAUCUCAAUAAAUGAUACUCUAAUCAAAAACUCUGUGGAAUCUUUAAUCAUCUCAACUCUUUGGAAUAUGUUUUCCAUUACUUUAGGGAUAAUUCCAUCAUUAUUACCUUCACCGGUGUAAUUUGUUCCCAUGGUAUAUGUUUUUCCUGAUCCCGUCUGGCCGUAGGCAAGAACUGUGGCAUUAUAACCAAGAAAGAGUGCAUCCACCAGUGGAGCAACACAAUCAUCAUAUAUUGAAGAGGACGAUGAUCCCGUGCCUCCAUAGACAUAAUCAUAAGUAAAAGCGUGGGAUCCAAUUUGAACCUGAGGCUCCCCUGGUACAACAGUGAUGCAAUCUGUACAACCAAUGAGAAGCUCGGAGGUAAUCAGAGGCCGAAUGUUAACGGCAACUCUCACACACUCUGCAUUGUCCAUCUCGCUUUAAAUGAUUCAAUUCGCGAAAUAUAACCCUGAAUAACCAACGAAAUAUGGAUCUAAGAGAUACAUAGAGAUUGAAGAUACCUGAAGCAGAUGGAGAAAUAUAAUUUUUUUUUCCCCUGUUUUUGAAUGGAA